rnacentral:sRNA from 1 species
UAUUUAAGUGUACUUUUUAUGUUGAUAUUUAUUUAUUCAGACUGUCAAGCGACGUGCCCUGCUGGAUUCUUUGGCUCUUGGUGUCAAUACAAAUGUCAUUGUGCAGAAAAAUGUGAUGACAGUGGUGCGUGCAUAGGUCAGCAACCAUCUUGUGCAAAGGGAUGGUUCGGACUAGGAUGUCAGUAUGAGGAUAUUGCGGUCAAUGCAGAGCUACUCCUGAAUGGCGCUUUGAGUUCGAC